UAAGGAAUAUUGGUCAAUGGGGGCAACCCUGAACCAGCCAUGCCGCGUGCAGGAUGACUGCCCUAUGGGUUGUAAACUGCUUUUGUCGGGGAAUAAACCCCACUACGUGUAGUGGGCUGAAUGUACCCGAAGAAUAAGGAUCGGCUAACUCCGUGCCAGCAGCCGCGGUAAUACGGAGGAUCCGAGCGUUAUCCGGAUUUAUUGGGUUUAAAGGGUGCGUAGGCGGCACUUUAAGUCAGGGGUGAAAGACGGCAGCUCAACUGUCGCAGUGCCCUUGAUACUGAAGUGCUUGAAUGCGGUUGAAGACGGCGGAAUGAGACAAGUAGCGGUGAAAUGCAUAGAUAUGUCUCAGAACACCGAUUGCGAAGGCAGCUGUCUAAGCCGUUAUUGACGCUGAUGCACGAAAGCGUGGGGAUCGAACA
rnacentral:rRNA from 1 species